AGUAUUCAAAAAUAAUCAGGGAAAAUGUCUGCAUCUAAUUUUUUAUGUUCUGUCUAGGCAGGAAUGUAUCCAUGUCUUCUACCACGGGGGCCAAGGGUGUUUCCUCUGCGGGGUUUAUCUGUCUACGGAACUGAUUUUGCAGCUUGGAGCAGGCAGGUUUCCAUCACCUUACUCAAAGUGGAGGAAACAGUGAUCUUCACUGCCUGGUUUUGAUGUGUGACUCACAGAACUCAGGAGUCAACAUCACCUGAAGGAAGAGGAUAUGGAGCAUAAACCUGUUUCAAGUUAUUCUUUUCAAAAGAACAGGGUAGAGGGCUUUGCCUGGUCCUGAGUCAGGAAAGAAGGUGAAAAACAGGCAGUGGGGAAGACCACUGCAGAGGCGAGACCCACACCACACCCCCUGCUGGAGUUUUAAGGACAGAGUCCCCUGCAUUCUUGGGCCCACAGGACCAUGGUCUCACCCCUCUCUGCAUCUCUUUGGAACCCUUCGUCUCUCAUCUUCAGAACAGUCACUGCUUUGUAGUGGGGCCU